AUGGAAGAGGCAGCAGGUGGAGGACAAGACUGUGGAAGGGAGAGAUCUGUGGUGAUAAGAGAUGGUGCUGGUGAACAGACUGAGGUUUUUGUCCUUUUCUUCCUCUGUCGCAAAGACUUCGAGCAUGACAGUGGAGAAGCGUGUGGAAGAAGAACAGCUGUAAAAGUAGUAGAGGAGGGAGGAGAGAGAGAAGUUGGAGAGCGUGGGGAAGACAGAGGAACAAGGUUGUGUAUGAAUACAGUCUCAGACUCCUUUGGGAGACUCUCCAGCCGCUCCACGGUGAGUCUCUCCUUCUCCAUGGUGAGGCUCUCCUGUUUCACAGUGAGGCUCUCCGGCUGCUCCAUGGUGAGGCUCUCCGGCCGCUCUACAGUGAGGCUCUCCGGCCGCUCCAUGGUGAGGCUCUCUGGCUGCUCCACAGUGAGGCUCUCCGGCCGCUCCAUGGUGAGGCUCUCCUGUUUCACGGUGAGGCACUCCGGCCGCUCUACAGUGAGGCUCUCCGGCCACUCCAUGGUGAGGCUCUCCUGUUUCACUGCGAGGCACUCCGGCCGCUCUACGGUGAGGCUCUCCUGUUUCACGGUGAGGCGCUCCGGCCGCUCUACGGUGAGGCUCUCCUGCUUCACUGCGAGGCCCUCCGGCCGCUCCACGGUGAGGCUCUCCUGUUCCACGGUGAGGCCCUCCGGCCGCUCUACGGUGAGGCUCUCCUGUUUCACGGCGAGGCACUCCGGCCGCUCUACGGUGAGGCUUUCCAGUUUCACAGUGAGGCACUCCGGCCGCUCUACGGUGAGGCUUUCCUGUUUCACCGCGAGGCACUCCGGCCGCUCUACGGUGAGGCUCUCCUGUUUCACGGUGGGGCUCUCCGGCCGCUCUACAGUGAGGCUCUCUGGCUGCUCCACAGUGAGGCUCUCCGGCCCCUCCAUGGUGCGGCUCUCCUGUUUCACGGUGAGGCGCUCCGGCCGCUCUACAGUGAGGCUCUCCGGGGACACCGUGUUGAUCCCCGCCGGCGCCGCAGCGAGGCACUCCGGCCGCUCUACGGUGAGGCUCUCCUGUUUCACGGUGAGGCACUCCGGCCGCUCCACGGUGAGGCUCUCCAGCUCCAAAAUGGAACCGUUGCACUGCUCCAGACUAGGGCUGUUGUGCUGCUCCGCUACGGGGAUGUCAUUGUCCAGCUGCUGUGCUGUGGAAGUUGCUUUAAUACAAGUUUGCAUUAAUUUCAAACGUGUACAUAUUAACAAAGAAUAA
rnacentral:lncRNA from 12 species